UAAACCCUGCGGUGUUCGUGGACAAGGGACUGUGUCUUGAGCCAACACUCAAGCCCGCGGAGGUCCGCUCCGUUCCGGCAGAAACGGCCCACGGGUCGUCCAAGGCCAAGGUUCGGGGGGCUUCCAUCCUUGCUAAGGAGCGGGUCAAGGCCUUCCCAUCACGGCACUGUGGGGUUUAC
rnacentral:other from 1 species